GUCGCCCCAGUGUUCAGACUACCUGUUCAGGACAAUGCCGUUGUACAGUAGUCUGCACAUUGGUUAGACUGGGCAAGGGAGAGCAACGCCAUGGACCGCUGGGGACAAAAUGGGCUGUUUCCAAGGAGAAGACAUUUGUUUGCUCCUUUUUUGAAUCUCAUAUCCAGUGUUUUUCUUCACAGGUUUUGCACACUAGGGACCAAGAAGCCCUCGGGGACACUGCUGAGAAAAGACUGCCGAAGGGAAGACCAGCGGGGAUCAUGGAAUCUAUUCCAGAGGAAACUAACCAACAGUGAGCAUCUUCAACUAAAACUACCCCUGGAUGUAAUAAGUGUUGCAUGCAUCAUUCCUUUAAUUGAGCAGAGUUAACUGGAUCAAAUUAUUUAUGGGAGAGAGAGGAAAAGUUAUAAAGAAUUAUAGUAAUUUUUAAUUUCCACCAAUAUACUCUUUGUAAGUGAAUCACUCUAUAAUUACUUUCUGUUGCACUGAAUGCAGCAACAAUAACACAAUAGUAUUUUAAGGCACUGGUUUUUGGCAUACUCUAACCUUGUAAUUAUUUAAAUAACAGCCAAGUUUACUCAUGUUUUUGAUUCUGUCAAGAAAAAAAAAAAGUUCCUUUACUCGAAAGUGAUGGCCGAAACAGAAUCGGAAAUUUGUUUUCUUGAAAUUACAUAAAUACACAGAAAAUGGCACUUAUUAGCUUUUGUUAAAACAUUACCUUACCUAAUCACUGCAUAAAAGUCCAGAUUUGUAGAAAAUUGUAAUUUUCUCAGUAUCUAAAACUAUUUUGCUUUCCAUUAAGUUUCUAUUUGCUAUUUUCUCAGAAUUUUACAAUUAAAGAUAAAUCACAAACUGUUUGUUUUUCUUAAAGUUCUUUG
rnacentral:lncRNA from 1 species